rnacentral:rRNA from 1 species
UACGAAGGGGGCUAGCGUUGUUCGGAUUUACUGGGCGUAAAGCGCACGUAGGCGGAUCGUUAAGUCGGGGGUGAAAUCCUGGAGCUCAACUCCAGAACUGCCUUCGAUACUGGCGAUCUUGAGUCCGGAAGAGGUGAGUGGAACUCCUAGUGUAGAGGUGGAAUUCGUAGAUAUUAGGAAGAACACCAGUGGCGAAGGCGGCUCACUGGCCCGAUACUGACGCUGAGGCACGAAAGCGUGGGGAGCAAACGGG